rnacentral:rRNA from 1 species
UACGAAGGGGGCUAGCGUUGUUCGGAAUUACUGGGCGUAAAGCGCACGUAGGCGGAUUGUUAAGUUAGGGGUGAAAGCCCGGGGCUCAACCCCGGAAUUGCCUUUGAGACUGCAUCGCUAGAACGUCGGAGAGGUGAGUGGAAUUCCGAGUGUAGAGGUGAAAUUCGUAGAUAUUCGGAAGAACACCAGUGGCGAAGGCGACUCACUGGACGACUGUUGACGCUGAGGUGCGAAAGCGUGGGGAGCAAACAGG